AACAAGGUUUCCGUAGGUGAACCUGCGGAAGGAUCAUUGUCGAGACCCUCGAAAGACAGACCCGCGAACCCGUUCGACCGUAUAGCCGCGCCCGGCGGCGCGUCCCCGCCCUCCCCGGGGGCGGGCGCGCGCCGGCCCGGGCAACGAACCCCCCGGCGCGGGACGCGCCAAGGAGAACCCCAACGGAGACGGCCCGCCCCCGUUCGCGGGGCGGCGGCCUCUCUCGAGAAGGAACGAAAACGACUCUCGGCAACGGAUAUCUCGGCUCUCGCAUCGAUGAAGAACGUAGCGAAAUGCGAUACUUGGUGUGAAUUGCAGAAUCCCGCGAACCAUCGAGUCUUUGAACGCAAGUUGCGCCCGAAGCCGUCAGGCCGAGGGCACGUCUGCCUGGGCGUCUCGCAACGCGUCGCCCCCCCGCCAGCGCCCGCGGGCGUCGGGGGGGCGGACACUGGCCCCCCGCGGGCUCCCCGCCCGCGGCCGGUCUAAAAGCCGAGUCGCCGGCGACGGACGGCACGACGAGUGGUGGAGUCCCCGACGCGCGCGCGCCCUCUCUCUGGGCGCGCCCCGCGCCGUGCCGUCGCCGCCGGCGCGACCCCGAACGAUCGACCGACCGCGACCCCAGGUCAGGCGGGAUCACCCGCUGAGUUUAAGCAUA
rnacentral:rRNA from 1 species